rnacentral:pre_miRNA from 1 species
UCUUAUGGAUGAAUGAGGAAAGUAAUUUCUCAAGAUGAAAUCUAUUCCAGGUGAUGAUGCUGUGAA